CGCGGCCCCGCCCGCCGGUCACAGCGCUCCCCGCGCCCUCACCUUCUAUUUUUAAUUCUUUCUUUGUCUCCGAGCGCCCGCCCCUUUCGCCGCGGGAUGACGGGGCGGCGGGAUGACGCCACCCGCUUCCCGGAACGGUGACGCGGCCGCUGGAAUGCGCGCGGGGCUGCGCUGCCUUAAAGGGGCAGCGCGGGGCGGCCCCGCCCGGGGGGCGGCACUGACGGACGGGCGCAGCUGGGGCGGCCCGGGGGGGGCGCGGGGCUGAGACCUGCCCCGCACGGACCCCGCACAGACCCCGCACAGACCCCGCACAGACCCCGCACAGCCCCGCAGCGCCGUCCUGAAUGAAGGGCUGGCGGGGACAAUGACCCCUCGUUUCUAGGGUAAGUGGAGAGAAGUCAGAAAAGGCAUGAGAUGAGAAGACAACAGAUGAAAGGGAAAUGCUCAGAGAGAUGGAGCUCCCAGGGAAAUGGAGGAGCUGGCUUACUUCAAGAGAAGUUCAAGAAUGAACACAACUGGUUUGCUGUCAGUUUUUAGUACUGGCUGCAGCUCAUGGGCAAUAAUGGCACCAGCAGUGCUGAAGCAGCAUUGUAUAGCAAACAAGUAGACCUCAGUGACCCUCAACAACAGGAUAACAACACUUGGAUUUCCAAGGUACUUCCACCCACACUGAAGGAGGGAAUUGGGUUUUUUCCCUUCUUCAUUAUUCUGCAACAUUGCUCUGCUUAUCUUGAAAUACUCUAAAUAAAUACCCAGUUCUGACACAGCUAGCUAAAUAAGGACAGACAGUUGCUAAAUCUCUGUCAUAAUUACAGCAGGCACCUGUUCAUGGCCACUAAAACCGAUGUUGCUAACACGUUUCCACAAUAACUUCAUGCUCAAAAUUUUCCAACCAACUAUCUUUUGGGAAGAAAUUUUCCACAUUUGGCCUCUGCUUGAGAGGACAUUUUUUUUUCUUCGAGGCUUGAGAAAAAUGAUGCCAGCUGUUCUUGAGCACAGCAUGAAUUAUAAAGUUAUGCCUCUGAAGUAAAAAGAACUUCCCAGGCUGCACCAAGCUGAAAUAUAAAGCUUGCUCUAGACCCUUCUGAAGAGCAAACUUUUUCUUAGUGUUAUACUAGAUGUUGAUUUACCUAGAUUAAUAAAGAUAAGACAAUAAAUAUGUUUUGAAAUAGCUGAGAAUGAUUUAUCUGUAGGUGAGUGAAAAAGAAAAGCUUUCAGCUCAAACGAGCUGUAAAUGGAGAGCUGCCAGGUGGGUCAGAGGAGUUCACUCCUACCCUCACCAAGUGCAUUUCAUUGUUUGAGGAGAACAGGGUGCGACUGCACCUUCCACAGGAGGGAAGCCAACGUCACUACUCCAGACUCCUUCCCCUCUCCACCAGAUUAUUUUUCUUUCAAAAGCAGGCAAUUAAAUAUAAAAUAGGAGUGUUAAAUUUGCAAAGUUGAGCAUGCUGGCACUGGGGCAUUUAAAAAGCUAAGUUUACUACUCCUGUCUGUGUGGCCAAUAUAUACAUGUAUAUAUACAUCCAGGCAAUCAAAUGGACAUAGAGAGGAGAUACAGAGAGACUUUCAAACUAGUAUUAGAACUCUAUAUCCUUGACAAAAUGCUCAAAGUAGUCAAAAUGUCCCAGAAUAUACCACUUGAAUCAUAUUACCUAUUAUUAAAACUGGUACAUUGAACAUUAUAAAAUUAAUUAACAGAUUGAAGCUCUUAAUUGGGAUAUACAUUUUAUAUAUGAAGGUAUACAUUUUAUAUUGAUUUAUUUAGAAUAUCCUCAAGCAUAGAAUACCCUGAUUUUUCCAUGCCAAGUACAGAGACUUGAAGACUGUCUUAAUAACAAGUUUAUAUGUAUUAUAUAUGGAAUAUUAUUGUACUGGAUAACACUGUGCAUCUGUCUUUGCAAGUUUUCUGUCUCUCCUGGAUAGUUGUUUUUUUUUUGACACAUUUUCUAGCACUUUGGGGGCUGCUAAAAGGCAAUUUCUGUCUUUUAACAAACCAGGGAAAAAAAAAAAAAAGAAGAACUAACCAAAACCCCCUUCACCACAGUCACAACCAUGUUACUUUCUCUUCUAUAGCAACUCCUUGUUUUUUCAUGAAAUCAUAAGGAAAUCGUGUGCUGCUGUGUUUUAAGAAAAAUUUUAAAAAAAAACCCUCAACAAAACAAACAAAACCCCCAAAGCAUAUUAUUUUUAGCUUUCUAUAAUUUCAUUAAACGGGUCUUUCCUCCUCAUGGUAAAAAGCCUUCUUCUUCAUAUGAAAUGAACUUCUAGCUGUCAUGUCAAGUAGCACGGAGCGCGGGGGAAGGGAGGAUUGUAAGAACGGAGGGGGUGUUAAGCAGUUUUUUCCUGUAGAAAACGAUCACAGUUUUCACUCCUUUCGAAAACUACACAGUCGCCCCUUCUUUUUUCUUUUCCUUUAUUUAUUUUUUUUUUUUUGUCGUGACAAAGACUUUGAUUUAUUCUCAGAGGCAAAACGGCCCCGAGAAAGAAACUCCCGGAGCCUUAAUUAAAAAAAAGAAAGAAAGAAAAAAAAGAAAAAUAAAUAGAAAAAGAAAACAAA